AGAGUUUGAUCCUGGCUCAGGAUGAACGCUAGCGACAGGCUUAACACAUGCAAGUCGAGGGGCAGCGAGGGCGUAGCAAUACGCCUGUCGGCGACCGGCGCACUGGUGAGUAACACGUAUGCGACCUGCCCCCUACAGGGGUAUAACCCGUAGAAAUGCGGACUAAUCCCCCAUAGUCCUGGGUGCUGCAUGGCAUUCAGGGGAAAGGCCAGCCGGUAGGGGAUGGGCAUGCGGCGCAUUAGCUAGUUGGCGGGGCAACGGCCCACCAAGGCGACGAUGCGUAGGGGUUCUGAGAGGAAGGUCCCCCACACUGGUACUGAGACACGGACCAGACUCCUACGGGAGGCAGCAGUGAGGAAUAUUGGUCAAUGGGCGCAGGCCUGAACCAGCCAAGUCGCGUGAGGGAGGACGGUCCUACGGAUUGUAAACCUCUUUUGUCGGGGAGUAACGUGCGGGACGCGUCCCGUAUUGAGAGUACCCGAAGAAAAAGCAUCGGCUAACUCCGUGCCAGCAGCCGCGGUAAUACGGAGGAUGCGAGCGUUAUCCGGAUUUAUUGGGUUUAAAGGGUGCGCAGGCGGCGCGCCAAGUCAGCGGUCAAAGUUCCGGGCUCAACCCGGUGUCGCCGUUGAAACUGGCGUGCUCGAGUGCGUGCGAGGAAGGCGGAAUGCGUUGUGUAGCGGUGAAAUGCAUAGAUAUGACGCAGAACUCCGAUUGCGAAGGCAGCUUUCCAGCGCGCUACUGACGCUGAGGCACGAAAGCGUGGGGAUCGAACAGGAUUAGAUACCCUGGUAGUCCACGCAGUAAACGAUGAAUACUAACUGUUCGGGGGGCGACCUCUGAGUGGUAAAGCGAAAGCGUUAAGUAUUCCACCUGGGGAGUACGCCGGCAACGGUGAAACUCAAAGGAAUUGACGGGGGCCCGCACAAGCGGAGGAACAUGUGGUUUAA
rnacentral:rRNA from 1 species